CGGGGCGUAGCGCAGCUUGGUUAGCGCGCCUGCCUUGGGAGCAGGAGGUCACCAGUUCGAAUCUGGUCGCCCCGA
rnacentral:tRNA from 1 species